AUUAUUUUGGCAGAUUAGUGCAAUAAAUUUAGAAUUUAUGAAUGAAUUUUUAAAAAUUUAAAUAAUA
rnacentral:tRNA from 1 species